UACGGAGGAUCCAAGCGUUAUCCGGAAUCAUUGGGUUUAAAGGGUCCGUAGGCGGUUUGGUAAGUCAGUGGUGAAAGCCCAUCGCUCAACGGUGGAACGGCCAUUGAUACUGCCAGACUUGAAUUAUUAGGAAGUAACUAGAAUAUGUAGUGUAGCGGUGAAAUGCUUAGAGAUUACAUGGAAUACCAAUUGCGAAGGCAAGGUUAUCUACUAAUGAUUGACGCUGAUGGACGAAAGCGUGGGUAGCGAACAGG
rnacentral:rRNA from 1 species